GACGAACGCUGGCGGCGUGCUUAACACAUGCAAGUCGAGCGGAAAGGCCCCUUUGGGGGUACUCGAGUGGCGAACGGGUGAGUAACACGUGAGUAACCUGCCCUUGACUUCGGGAUAACUUCAGGAAACUGGGGCUAAUACCGGAUAGGAAUCCUUGCUGCAUGGUGGGGGUUGGAAAGCUUCGGCGGUUUUGGAUGGACUCGCGGCUUAUCAGCUUGUUGGUGGGGUAGUGGCUUACCAAGGCUUUGACGGGUAGCCGGCCUGAGAGGGCGACCGGCCACCUUGGGACUGAGAUACGGCCCAGACUCCUACGGGAGGCAGCAGUGGGGAAUAUUGCACAAUGGGCGGAAGCCUGAUGCAGCAACGCCGCGUGCGGGAUGACGGCCUUCGGGUUGUAAACCGCUUUCAGCAGGGGCGAAGCUUGUGGUGACGGUACCUGCAGAAGAAGCACCGGCUAACUACGUG
rnacentral:rRNA from 1 species